UUUUUUUAUUUUUUAUUUUUUUAAGAUUUUAUUUAUUUUUCAUGAGAGGCAGAGACACAGGCAGAGGGAGAAGCAGGCUCCCCACAAGGAGCCCGACGUGGGACUCGAUCCUGGACCCUGGGCUCAGGCCCUGGGCCAAAGGCAGAUGCUCAACCGCUGAGCCACCCAGGCAUCCCUAAUUCUUUAUACAUUAAUGGUUUUGGUUCAUUAAUAUUUUUGAGGCAUUUUGUGUCUAUAUUCAUAAGGGAUAUUGGUCUAUAAUUUUCGUUUUCUUUUCCUGUUGUAUUGUCUUUGGUUUUAAUGUCAGGGUAAUGCUGGCCUUUAGAAUCAAUUGGGAAGUGUUUCUUUAUCUUAAGUUUCCUGGAACAGAUUAUAUAAAAUUGCUGUUAAUUCUUCUUUGGAAGAAUGUUUGGUAAAAUCUUCCAGUGAAUCCAUAUAGGCUUUUCUUUGGGGGAAGUUUUAAAUUAAAAAUUCAAUUUCUUUAGUGGUUAUAGGACUAUUCAUGUAAUAUGUUUCCUCUUGGUUGGGUUCUUGUAGUUUGUGAAUUUUGAUGAAUUUGUCCAAUUUUUUAUCUCUAGUUAUUAAAAUUUAUCAGCUGUGGGACCUUGAGCAAAUAAACUCAAAGCAAACAGGAAAGUAAACAAUAAAAGGCAGAAAUCAAUAAAAUCGAAUAUAGGAAAACAAUAGAGAGUAUCAGUGAAACAAAAAGUUCUCUGAAAAAAUCAGUAAUAUUUGUAAACCUCUAAUAAGACUGCAUAAAAAGAAGAUUCAAACCACCAAUAUCUGGUAUGAAAUAGGAGAUAACAUUACAGAUCCUGCAGCCAUUAACAAGAAAAUAAGAGAAUACUAUGAACAACUUUAUAGUCAUAACUUUAAUAAGGAAAAUCUGUUGUAUUUACUCAUAUUUCUACUGUUUUAAUUGUACUUUCUUCUUUUCUGAUGCUCCAAGAUUCCUUAUUUUGUCAUUUCUUUACUGUUUGUAGAACUUCCUUUAGCCAUUCUUUUAGGGCAACAAAUUCUCUUAGUUUUCCACCAUCUGAGAAUGUCUUGAUUUCCUCUGUUCCUCAAGGAUAUUUUUGCUGAAUAUAUAAUUCUGAGAUAACAAUUCUUUUCUUUCAGUACUUGAAAAAAAUUGUGACUUCUUCCUUCUCCCCUCCAUGGUUUCUGAGGAGAAAUCAAUUAUCAUUCUAAUUGUUUUUUUUUUCUAUAAUUAAGGUGUCAUUUCUCUUUCACUGCUUUAAGGAUCUUUUUUGUCAUUAUUUCUUUGAAUACUUUCUCAGCCACACCUUCUUUCUUUUCUUCUUCUGGUACUCUGAUGACAUGAAUAUUAAGUUUUUUUCUGUGGUAAUCCCACAGUUCCCUAGGGGUGUGUUAAUUUUUUUCAGUUUAUUUCCUUUCUCUUGUUUAUUUUUUUUUUAGUAGGCUCCAUAAAUAGGGAGCUUGAACUCACAACCCUGAGAUCAAGAGUUGCAUGCUCUUUAAGUUGGCAAGCAAAAAUAAAUAAAUAAUUAAAUAAAUGUUCCCACUGUGGCUGACUUCAAAAAAAAAAAAAAAAA
rnacentral:lncRNA from 1 species